CAUCAUGGUUUGACUAUAAUCCAAACAAGAAUGUGGAAAAGGAUUCUUUGCCAGUGCAAUUGUGCUUUGAUUAUCUUCAUAGAUCACAGGAAAUGAGAGGACCAUUUUUACAGAGACUAAUACAAUAACCAGAGAUAUUUCAGUACAUGCUUUAAAGUUGUCCACUGCUCUUC